rnacentral:rRNA from 1 species
AGAGUUUGAUCAUGGCUCAGGACGAACGCUGGCGGCGUGCUUAACACAUGCAAGUCGAACGAUGAAGCCCUUCGGGGUGGAUUAGUGGCGAACGGGUGAGUAACACGUGGGCAACCUGCCCUCCACUCUGGGAUAACUCCGGGAAACCGGGGCUAAUACUGGAUAUGACCUUCUGGCGCAUGCUGGUGGGUGGAAAGUUUUUCGGUGGAGGAUGGGCCCGCGGCCUAUCAGCUUGUUGGUGGGGUGAUGGCCUACCAAGGCGGUGACGGGUAGCCGGCCUGAGAGGGCGACCGGCCACACUGGGACUGAGACACGGCCCAGACUCCUGCGGGAGGCAGCAGUGGGGAAUAUUGCACAAUGGGCGAAAGCCUGAUGCAGCGACGCCGCGUGAGGGAUGACGGCCUUCGGGUUGUAAACCUCUUUCAGCAGGGACCAAGCGUGAGUGAGUGUACCUGCAGAAGAAGCACCGGCUAACUACGUGCCAGCAGCCGCGGUAAUACGUAGGGUGCGAGCGUUGUCCGGAUUUAUUGGGCGUAAAGGGCUCGUAGGCGGCCUGUCGCGUCGGGAGUGAAAGCCCACUGCUUAACGGUGGGUCUGCUUUCGGUACGGGCGGGCUAGAGUAUGGCAGGGGAGACUGGAAUUCCUGGUGUAGCGGUGGAAUGCGCAGAUAUCAGGAGGAACACCGGUGGCGAAGGCGGGUCUCUGGGCCAUUACUGACGCUGAGGAGCGAAAGCGUGGGGAGCGAACAGGAUUAGAUACCCCCGUAGUCC